rnacentral:rRNA from 1 species
AAAGAUUAAGCCAUGCAUGUAUAAGUAUAAAUGCCCUAGAGCAUGAAACUGCGAACGGCUCAUUAGAACGGCUGCAAUUUACUUGAUCUUGACAACCAAUACAUGGAUAACUGUGGUAAUUCUAGAGCUAAUACAUGCACCAAAGCUCUGGCCCGCAAGGGAAGAGCGCAUUUAUUAGAACAAAACCAAGCGGCUUCGGCCGUCCGCUGUUGACUCAGAAUAACUAAGCUGAUCGCACGGUCUUGCACCGGCGACGUGUCUUUCAAGCAUCUGCCUUAUCAACUUUCGAUGGUAGUGUCAGUGACUACCAUGGUGGUGACGGGUAACGGAGGAUCAGGGUUCGACUCCGGAGAAGGGGCCUGAGAAAUGGCCACUACGUCUAAGGAUGGCAGCAGGCGCGCAAAUUACCCACUCUCAGCAUGAGGAGGUAGUGACGAGAAAUGACAAGAGUGUUCUCUUCAGAGGCCACUCAUUGGAAUGAGUACAAUCUAAAUCCUUUAACGAGUAUCUAUGCGAGGGCAAGUCUGGUGCCAGCAGCCGCGGUAAUUCCAGCUCGCAAAAUGCAUAGAAUUAUUGCUGCGGUUAAAAAGCUCGUAGUUGGAUCUGUGCUGGCGUGUCGGUCCACCUCCGGGUGCGCACUGGCAGCCGUCGGCUUUUGUGCAGCUCAAGCGGCGCGGCUGCCCUUCACUGGGUGCCGCUGUCCGUUGCUGCAAGUUUACCUUGAGCAAAUCAGAGUGCUCUAAACAGGCGUUUCGCUUGAAUGUUCGUGCAUGGAAUAAUAGAAGAGGAUUUCGGUUCUAUUUUAUUGGUUUUAUAGACCGAGAUAAUGGUUAACAGAGACAAACGGGGGCAUUCGUAUUGCUACGUGAGAGGUGAAAUUCUUGGACCGUAGCCAGACGAACUACAGCGAAAGCAUUUGCCAAGAAUG